CAGGGAGGCUGCUCUUUUCUCUGUAUCUCCAAUGUGCGGUGGUGUGGCUCAGGAACUGGGUGAACCUCAGCUCAUUUCUGGCUGCUGAAGGAGGGAUUGCAAGUGGUGGUGUCUGACUGCAUGGCUUGGUUGGGGAAGGUGAGGGAGAGCAGCCACAGGGACUCAUUGCUGAAAAGCCUGAGGACUUUGGGAUUCCCACAAAUGCCUUUUUCACAGCCAGCUGCUGCCACUCAGUGCCAUAAAUGGAGAACAUACCCUCAAUUAUUCAUGGUCUGGCUCUAACCCAUUAGCCUCUGAGACUCUUGGCUCUGGUCUUGGCCUUCUAUUACAGAGGAUGAAGCUCAGUUAGCAGCCAGGAUUUCUCAAUGGCAUCUUAAGCCAGGUUGACAUAAAUUGUCAGUGUAAAAUCUACUAACAUGGAAGUCUCCAAAUACUGGCGAGCUGGCAAAAGGUCCUUAGCAAAAACUAUGCCAUUAGUGAGCCAAAGCUAUUAGUAAUACAGUGCUGCUAGUACCAAGGAUGCUCUAACCAUCAGAAACAGCUUCUAGCAGGCGUGUGCUGGGAGAGCACAUCAUUCCUUGCCUUGUGGCGAGAAUCUCCUCUGCCAAACAUAGGAAAUUACCUUCUCCUAAGUAAAUUGUGUAACCCUGCCCCUACAUUCCUUCUCAUAGGUAUGAAUUGUCAGGCUUUAAUAGUACAAUUGGCUCUGCUGUGUGUGCUGCUUGGUUUCUGUGGGAAGGGAUUAGGGGAAUACUAGAUGCUCUGUAUCUGGGGAAAAGGUAUUCUCAGUUCUCCAGGCAAAGGUAUUAUCCCCAUUUAAAAUAGGCUUCAGGUAGUAUGUGGAUGUUCUAAGAUGCAUGGAAUCCGAGAGGGAAAAUCCUGCUUUAGCCCCCAAGGAUGGUCUUUGCACACACUUGACUUAAAUUUCUCUGUGGUGUCUUCUUUCCUAUAGCUUUCUCAUUGACAAAAGGCACCACAAGGUGACUGGUCUGUCCACAGCAAUGCAGAGCUAACAGGAACCUACUUCUGUAACCACAAUAGGCCCUGUCUCUAGGAAACUGCAGAGCAUUUCCCUUCCCUCCUAUAGCCUCCAGAUGUUAGUAAGCCCCAUGCCUUCACAAUGGCGCUUUGAGCAGUGACAGCAGCUCAGGGAUUACCUUGAUGUUGCUCUUUGUUCUGGAAGUGUUCACCAGGUUAUGGCUGUUGGUUUACACCGAUGUGAGGCCAUCGUGUUGCUGCUUCAGACAUGUAUCAGAUCUACACCUCCCUCAGGACCCCACAUCCCCAUCGUGCCACCAUAGUGGCAGACCUGUGGCCCUUUCCAGCAUUACCUACCUACAACUAAGCCUUCUCCAUGUUGUUUCUUCUCAUCCAAGCAAUUUCCCUGGAAUUCUGCUGUUCUUUCUGAGUGUGGCUUCCUGGCAUCAGGUGCCUUAACUCCAAACCCACACCUGUGACAGUGCUGGAGAUAGAGGAAUAUGCAUCAGACUAACUUUUCCUUCUUUUUGCCCUGCUUAACAGUACAGACUGGACAUAUGGAAGUUCUUCAGAGACAGCAAGGAUCCCAGAGCAUGUGAUCAUCCCAACUGCUUACCCUGCAUGCUUCCUGGGUAUUUUCUACAUAGCACUUCUGGAAGCCAUUUAGGAUUUACUAGGGUGGAAAUGUGAGGUCCUGUCAAGAGCAUGUUACAGCACAAGCAUGUGCUUUGGGCACUGGACUUGCAAAAUGAUGUCAGAACAGUGUAACUCAUGCAGUGAUGUCUGCAGACAGCCUGGAACAAUAACACAGCAGAGAGCAGACCUUUCGUUUUGGCAGAGGUUGUUUCACGAUGUGUUGGAAAUGGGGCUGUCCUUUUAAUGCCAUGUUGUAAUUAACUCUGGUUAGCACUGGCUGGGAAUUCUUUUGGCAGCACAGUUUUUUUCCCUAGAGGGGGUAGGUUCCUAUAAAACAAAGUGAGUUUUGUUUAUGGGUUUUUUUUUUUUUCCUUCUGCUUAAACAGGACUGAAAAUAACUUCUGAUGGAGGGGCUCCUUCUGCUUUCUUACUGGCUGCCUCAGAGUAAACAUUAUGCGAAAGACCUGGAAUUGGGCAAAAUAGGAUUGUAAACCCAUGUUUUAAACACAUGAACUAACACCGGGGUGUAUUGCUCUUCUGAGGUGGGAUAGACUGGGGAGAUGAGUGCAGUUUUAACAUGUAGAUAGUCAAGAGUGCUGUGCAAGAUGCUGCCAACAUGAUGUGUUCAAAGAGGGAUUGGACAAGAUCAUGGAGACAAAAACGUCCAUGGAGGGCUAUUAAAUAGGGGUAGAUGCAAUGUCUGCUUGGGGAAGUCGUCUUUAAUACUGUACCCUCUGUACCUGGUCCAUGGAGUUUGGAAGGAAGCGGUGUUAGGCUUUGAAAACCAUGGAUAUAGCUGGGAAAUUCCAGCCUGAAGUGAAAUCUUGACGGGAAAUCCCACCUGAGUUAAUCCCAGCUGCAUGUGGCACUGUUCGAGUUGUUCCCACUGCAGGAGUUGAAUUGGAUGUUUGCUUGGCUGGGGAAGGGAGCUCUGGUGAAACCAAACCUGAAAUCAUAGAGUCACAGAAUAGUUAGGGUUGGAAAGGACCUUAAGAUCAUCCAGUUCCAACCCCCCUGCCAUGGGCAGGGACACCUCACACUAAACCAUGGCACCCAAGGCUCUGUCCAAGCUGGCCUUGAACACCACCAGGGAUGGAGCAUUCACAACCUCCCUGGGCAACCCAUUCCAGUGCCUCAGCACCCUUACAGUAAAGAACUUCUUCCUUAUAUCCAAUCUAAACUUCCCCUGUUUAAGUUUGAACCCCUUACCCCUUGUCCUAUCACUACAGUCCCUAAUGAAGAGUCCCUCCCCAGCAUCCCUAUAGCCCCCCUUCAGAUACUGGAAGGCUGCUAUGAGGUCUCCACGCAGCCUUCUCUUCUCCAGGCUGAGCAGCCCCAACUUCCUCAGCCUGUCUUCAUACAGGAGGUGCUCCAUCCCCUGAUCAUCCUCGUGGCCUCCUCUGGACUUGUUCCAACAGUUCCACGUCCUUUUUAUGUUGAGGACACCAGAACUGCACACAAUGCUCCA